rnacentral:rRNA from 1 species
CAUCAGCCCGACCAGUUGUGUUGGAAGCUUACUAGGUCUGGAGAAUUCACAGUCAAGUCGAUGUAUAUCGAUGUCAUCAACUCUAGUGUUAUCCCUAGCUCCAAACAUGUUUGGAAAGUCAAGGUUCCUUUGAAAAUUAAAGUGUUUAUGUGGUUUGUACAUAAACAAGUCAUUUUAACAAAGGAUAAUUUGGUUAAGCGCAACUGGACAGGAUCUACUAGGUGUAGUUUCUGUGAUCGGGACGAAACUAUCAAGCACCUUUUCUUUGAUUGCCCGUUGGCGAGAGUGUUGUGGCACACGGUGCAAAUUUCCUUUAACAUUACUCCUCCGAAUUCGGUCAGUUCGUUAUUUGGAACGUGGCUUGUUGGGAUAGAGUCCGAAACAGCUAGACACAUUCGCGUAGGAGUAUGUGCGUUGUUA